rnacentral:rRNA from 1 species
AUGUGUGGAGGAAGCGACGAAUCGUUAUUUCAUACGCUAGUGACAUGCGAGCAUGCACUGCUGUUCUGGGAAGAGGUAAAGGAUUUUUUUGAGCUUAGACUGCCCGCAUUACAUCCAGUGACAUGGGCUAGGGAUGUGCUCGAUCAUAACUUCAUUAGUAAGAAGGAUGCAGCAGUGGCCGUUUCGGUUAUGUGGGCGAUUUGGAACAACAGAAACAAAUAUACUCAUAAUGAAGCAGUCUACCAGCCGUUGCGGUCAAUGCAGUUGGUACAGGAGCUGGUGAGAGCUCUGGAUAUCCCAGGGACGGAGGCGCAACAACCGAAGCCUCAACCAGUGUGGAAACCUCCCGAGGAAGGCUGGAUCAAAGUUAAUACCGACGGUGCAGUUGGGGCGGUCAGAAACUAUGCUGGGACGGGUGCAAUUUUGAGAGACCACCUAGGAGUGUUUGCUGCUGCAGUGAUGACAAAGUAUGAUGCUGUAUCAGAUCCAUUCAUCGUGGAAGCGUUAGCUUGUAGAGAUGGUAUGAAGCUGGCUAUGGAGAAAGGAAUUCAGAGAGUUGUGCUGGAGACUGAUUGUCUGAUGGUGGCGUCUGCAUGGGGGGAUGCAACUGAUCGGUCUGGUGCUGGUCAUAUCUUCAGGGAGAUGAGAUCAUAUCUCCCAAACUUCCAGGGAUUUUCCUUAGUUGUUUCUCACCGUAGUGCUAAUUUUGCAGCUCAUGUUUGUGCAAGAGAAGCAUGA